AGCCCUCCCCGCCUGCUCUGGUUCACAGAUGUUAUGCGCCACCUCGUCGUGAUGCUGGGGAUCUGCGCCCUGUUGUAGGAGUCAGCCUGGAGCUGCAGCUCCGCCCUCAGGUCGUCCUCAGCGAUGACAAACUCGUUUUUUGUGCUGCCAAAAAGAGCAAACAGAAGACUACAGGGGAGCAGACUACUCUGUCGGGGAGCAGAGACCAGCGCUUUGCCAAAUAUGUGUUCCAAUUUUUGUGAAUUCAGCGAUCAAUUUUCUUUGGUGCCCCCACUUCCUCUUGUUACUUCAGUGGCCCUUAGAUCCCGCCAGUCCCUCCCCUGCAGCUGGGGAGGAGUCUUCUCAGACUCCAGUCAAGAGUGCAGGGCCCUCCUCCUUUGAAAGCUAUUUUAAUUCUGAGAGACUGGCACACUCACCAAGUGCAGCUGAGCAUUUUGAAGACCAUGUAGUGCCUAACCACAAAGUCAAUGCUAAAUAGGGAAUGCACAGGAAUAGCCAGCUUCGCCAGAAGGGGCUCUGUCAUUGAGACUGGGCAGUUCUACCCAAGGACCAGAGCUGAGCCCGCAGGCAGGGAGUUGCAAUCUUUCAAAU
rnacentral:lncRNA from 1 species